GUGGCAUGAUGAACGUGUUUAUCCAUUCGCUGAGCGCCGCUGCUUCUGUCCCUUUGCGGCUCUGCGGUCCGUUCUGGGCUGUACGGUUACAGUUCCCUGAUUCUGCACAACUGGGCCAAUGUUCUAUUGGGUCUGCUGCUGUGGAGUCAGACGUGCUGGUGCGAGGGGUCAGAGCAGCCCUGACAAAGACGAAUGAACACUUCUGAUCAC